GAUCAGCUCCGGCUUUCGGCGCGGCUCCUUGUCGUCCGGCAGGACGCGGAAGCGCAGCAGCGUCAGCGCCAGCGCCACCUUCAUCUCGCUCAUGGCGAAAGUCUGUCCUAUGCAGUUCCUGCGGGAGGACGGGGUCCUAGAGAUGAAGAGAGGAGCCUCACCUCAGGGUCCGGCCAGACUGAAGGAUUGUGAUGAACUCCGAAAAUGCUGACGACACAUGUGCUGCCUUUUGGGGAGGAGUGGACAGUAAGUGCCAGAUCCGCGCUACCACCAUCCUACCCAGGGGCCUCCUCCCAUCGUGUGUGGGCACCUUUGGGGAUGACUCGGCCAUCAGGCAGCACAAUGUCCUUAGUGCAGCGGCGGACCAGGUCUGUAGCAGGAGGAUGCAGCCGCAGACUCUCCUUGAUGCACAUGGUCAGGAAGGGCAGACGGGCCAGGUCGUCCCUAAGGAACACACCACACGAUUAUCCAGGAGCCAAACCCAUCACCUUCUUCAGUCUUUUGAAAAAUUGCACUCCAAAUGAAUUAAAGUCUCAAGCAAUGGAA